GACGAACCGUGCGAACGUUGUUCGGAAUCACUGGGCUUAAAGGGCGCGUAGGCGGACAUUCAAGUCAGGGGUGAAAUCCUCCGGCUCAACCGGAGAACUGCCUUUGAUACUGGAUGUCUCGAGUGAGGUAGGGGCAUGCGGAACUGAUGGUGGAGCGGUGAAAUGUGUUGAUAUCAUCAGGAACUCCGGUGGCGAAAGCGGCUCACUGGGUAUCUUCUGACGCUGAGGGACGAAAGCUAGGGGAGCGAACGGG
rnacentral:rRNA from 1 species